rnacentral:rRNA from 1 species
GUGGGGAAUUUUGGACAAUGGGCGCAAGCCUGAUCCAGCAAUGCCGCGUGCAGGAAGAAGGCCUUCGGGUUGUAAACUGCUUUUGUACGGAACGAAAAGGCUCUGGUUAAUACCUGGGGCUCAUGACGGUACCGUAAGAAUAAGCACCGGCUAACUACGUGCCAGCAGCCGCGGUAAUACGUAGGGUGCAAGCGUUAAUCGGAAUUACUGGGCGUAAAGCGUGCGCAGGCGGUUUUGUAAGACAGAAGUGAAAUCCCCGGGCUCAACCUGGGAAUGGCGUUUGUGACUGCAAAGCUGGAGUGCGGCAGAGGGGGAUGGAAUUCCGCGUGUAGCAGUGAAAUGCGUAGAUAUGCGGAGGAACACCGAUGGCGAAGGCAAUCCCCUGGGCCUGCACUGACGCUCAUGCACGAAAGCGUGGGGAGCAAACAGGAUUAGAAACCCCGGUAGUCC